GCGAGGUGAUGAUAAAAUUCAUUUGUCUGUCAAUCCUCUGAUAUUCUUUGAUGUUAUUUAUGAAUCCCGACAGGUUCUGAUCGC
rnacentral:snoRNA from 14 species